rnacentral:piRNA from 1 species
UUGCCAAAGAGGACAGCUGUAGAUUCU